AUAGAUUUAAGAAGCACUAUAAAUCUCAAAAAGAGAAACAUUAAAAGAAACCCACAUUACAUAUUGUAUACUAUUACAUAGUAUAACUGUAAAUACUGAAGUCAAAAAGAAAAUAUUAAAGUUGUGAGAGAGAAAAAAGUCACCUUCAAAAGAGUGGUUAUGAGAUUGUCAGAAGCAGAUUGUUUCAUUUUCUUUUUUUCUUGGGGUCCUCUAACUUGAGCCAUAGUGUAUAGGGUGUAUUGAUUUCAGAGGUAACUUCAUCCUCUGCAUCCUGGGUGGUGAUGGUGGCCACACAGAUGUGUUGGUGGGGCAGGGCUGAGGCAAGGUAGUUCAUUUACAAAAGAACUGAAAUGCUAAAAGACAAAGGAAAGAUAGCUCUGCUGUGCUAGAAAAACUAAAUAACUGUCAAACUAAAAUUUUAUCCACAAACUUCUACAGAGUAGAAAGAAAAGGACAUACUUCAUAAUUAUUAUGUAAGGCUAGCAAGGUCUUUAUAUUAACUAACUGAUGUGGAUACAACAAGAACAGAAAAUUGCAGCCAAAUCACUCAUGGAUAUGCAUAACAUAAUUGAAUUAAAUCUGUAGUAUAUUAGAAGACUAACGUAUUUUGACCCAAUUUGUGUUUUCUAGGAUUAUAAGGUUGGUUUAAUAUUGAAAAGUCAAUCAGUGUAAUUUGGUACAACUUUAUAGGAAACUGUAAGACAUUAUAGAGGAAAAUUAAAUUGACCAAAAUAGAGACAUAUACAAUUUGUUCAUGAUUCAGAAGACUAAAUAGAAAUGUCAGUUUUUCUCAAAUUGACCUGUGUAUAAGUUUAGUGAAAUAAUAAUAAAACUCACUAUUUUUUCCUAAUGGAAUGAACAAGCUGAUUCUAAAACUUAUAUAUAAGAUUAAAAAAGUCAAGAAUAACUCAGGGUCUGCAUUGGCGCUGGCCCCAGCAGGAGGCCCCCCAUCGCCACUGUCACUCGUGCUGCUGUGCCUCUUCUUCUUCUUUUGUUCCGCUUGUUGGUCGCAGUGGAAGC
rnacentral:lncRNA from 1 species